GAGGGUACAGCUCAGUGACAGAGCCUGUGCUUAGCAUGCACGAGGUCCUGGGUUCAAUCCCCAGUACCUCCA
rnacentral:tRNA from 1 species